AUUGAACGCUGGCGGCAUGCUUUACACAUGCAAGUCGAACGAUGAAGCCUAGCUUGCUAGGCUGAUUAGUGGCGAACGGGUGAGUAAUACAUCGGAACGUACCCUGUAGUGGGGGAUAACUACUCGAAAGAGUGGCUAAUACCGCAUACAACCUGAGGGUAAAAGUGUGGGACCGCAAGGCCUCACGCGAAAGGAGCGGCCGAUGGAAGAGUAGCUCGUUGGGGGGGUAAAGGCUCACCAAGGCGACGAUCUUUAGCGGGUCUGAGAGGACGAUCCGCCACACUGGGACUGAGACACGGCCCAGACUCCUACGGGAGGCAGCAGUGGGGAAUUUUGGACAAUGGGCGAAAGCCUGAUCCAGCAAUGCCGCGUGAGUGAAGAAGGCCUUCGGGUUGUAAAGCUCUUUUGUUUGGGAAGAAAUCCUAAAGGAUAAUACCCUUUGGGGGUGACGGUACCAAAAGAAUAAGCACCGGCUAACUACGUGCCAGCAGCCGCAGUAAUAC
rnacentral:rRNA from 1 species